rnacentral:rRNA from 1 species
AGCUCCAAUAGCGUAUAUUAAAGUUGUUGCGGUUAAAAAGCUCGUAGUUGGAUCUCGGCGGGCAGGGGGUGGUUCGCUCUUCAGCGCUACUGCCCCGCUUUGCCCGUGUGAUUGGCGGAGGUUUCGGGGUGCUCUUCGUUGAGUGACUCGGAGCGCCGUCAGGUUUACUUUGAAAAAAUUAGAGUGCUCAAAGCAGGCUUUUCACGCUUGAAUAUUCGUGCAUGGAAUAAUGGAAUAGGAACUCGUUUCUAUUUUGUUGGUUUUCGGAAAUCGAGGUAAUGAUUAACAGGGACAAUUGGGGGCAUUAGUAUUCAGACGACAGAGGUGACCGUCUGAAGACUGACAACUGCGAAAGCAUUUGCCAAGAGUGUUUUCA